CCAGACAAAAGACAGACGAUCAAACACUGGCAGCAGCAUCAGUGCAGUGCGCUACGUUACUGCUAUACUUCACUAGUAUACAUUAAAGUUUCACAGCAGCUUAGUAAGCGUUGAACACAACGCAGUAAACUGUACAUAAAGUGCAGCUACAGUUUGUCCUCUCAAGAUGUCCUCAGAUAUUUACGCCACACCAGAUUUAUCAAAGAAGGUGAGAUACAACAGACAGGUGCAGGAGGACACAGUGGAGUGGGAGGAAAGGCAGGUGGAUAUCUACGAGAAUACGGACGCUAUCGGGAAUAAUCACACUGAUAUUCAGUCACACGAAGGAGGACCGCACACUGAGAAGCAUCCUCCAGCCGUCCAAAGGAGGCCUCUCAGGGUAGCUGCAUAUUGUCUGGGAGUGCUGUGCCUCCUGAUGAUGACAGGAAUCAUCCUCUCAUCUAUACUCUUCACUUUGGAAAGACACAAGCUGCAGAGCAGAUACGACCAACUGAGCAACAACUACAGCCAGCUCCAAAAACAAAUUUCAAACACAUCAGUCCACUACAGUCAGUUACAGGAUGAAGUGAAGCAGCUGAAGGACAAAAUUGAAGGGAAGUGGUGUCCUGAUGGAUGGAGCAGAUUUGGAUGCAGCUGCUACUUUAAAUCUAAUGAGAAGAAAACUUGGGGACAAAGCAGAGCUGACUGUCGGCAGAGAGGAGCAGAUCUGGUGAUCAUAAACAACAAAGAGGAACAGAAGUUUGUCACUGAGCUGAAUGUGCGUGGAGAGUCCUGGAUUGGUCUACAGAGAACAUGGACAGACACAGGAUGGAAAUAUGAAUGGCAAUGGGUGGACGGAUCACCGCUGUCACAAACUGGAGGUAACAUGAGGAAAAAACUAAAGAUGAGCAUCAGUCCCAUGGACGUGUUGAGAUGAAGCUGGAGACGGUGCUCAGAGUCAGCCUCAGAGACAAUUCAUGCCAAUAGCCGACUGAGGUGCUGCAUCAAAUAGUCUUCCUGUAAACAUUAUUAAUGGUGCUAUAGAUAUCAGAAAAACAAUGGCAGUCUGUUUUGAGGGAUGAUUCUUCAAGGUACAAAUCCCCUAAAUGACUGUAAACUGAAAGAUGGGAGUUCUGAACAAGGUUUCAUUCUUUCAUUGGCAGCCAUUACAGAUAACAUCCAUUAACCAAACUGAAUCUUCAACCAGUUAUUACAAUAAUUUGAUGGAUUACAGAUAAAAUCAAUAUUUCAAGUAAAAUUCAACAGUUUGCUUCAAAUUGAAAAUAAUCAGUUGUUUCAGCCCUGUUUAAAAGGACAACAUUUUAUUUGUCCUCCAGGUUCUGGGCACCAGGAC